rnacentral:rRNA from 1 species
AUGAGAUUGAGGAGCAUAAAUGGACUGCGGUGCAAGCAGCUUAAACUCGUCCUUCUUGCUUUCUUCGUGAUGUUUAUUCUCUGGAAAUGGGAGGAAGGAACAUACUACAAUACUAAAGAUAUUCAUCCAGAUUCAUUGGUUGUGUCCCAUCCAGCUAACUCAAAGUUUGUAGAUCAGCAUACAUCCUCAGAUGAAGACUUCCCAAGUGUAGAUUCGUUGCCACCGCCAGUAGUUAAAGUACAAAAACAAGUUACCGGCGCACCACCACCACUGCCCAUUGUCGGUGUUCCUGCUAAUGUGGGAGGUGAACAGGGGGCAUCAUCUUCUGAGCCGAAAGAAUGUAACCACAGAAAUGGAAGAUGGGUUCCUGACAAGCGCAGACCACUCUACUCUGGUUUUGGCUGUAAACAGUGGCUUUCUGAGAGCUGGUCCUGCAGAUUGACUCAGCGCACUGAUUUUGAUUACGAACAAUUUAGAUGGCAACCUGAAGCUUGUGAUAUGCCAGAGUUUGAGGCCUCUCAGUUCUUGAUGAGAAUGCAGGGCAAAACCAUUGCUUAUGUGGGCGAUUCUUUAGGGAGGCAGAUGUUUCAGUCCAUGAUGUGUAUGGCUACUGCUGGAGAAGAGCGGGCAGACGUGGAAGAUGUCGGUGCGGAGUACGGGUUUGUCUUAGCACCAGGCGCAAAAAGACCAGAUGGCUGGGCUUACCGGUUCCCGAGCACCAACACGACCAUUCUAUACCAUUGGUCGUCGACGCUAUGUGAUCUGGAGCCUCUGAAUCCAUCAGAUCCAGCCACCAGCUACGCCAUGCACCUCGACCGCCCACCUGCUUUCGUGCAGGACAACCUCCACAGGAUCCACGUUCUGGUCCUCAACACCGGCCACCACUGGAACCGGGGCAAGCUAAGGGCAAACAAGUGGGAGAUGUACGUCGGCGGAUCCCCGAACCACAACAAGAACAUCGCCGCCAUCUGGAAGGCCAAGAACUUCACCAUCCACAGCGUCAUCAAGUGGCUGGACGCGCAGCUCCCCCGCCACCCCCACCUGAAGGCCUUCUACCGAUCCAUAUCGCCCCGGCAUUUCUUCAACGGGGACUGGGACACCGGCGGCAGCUGUGACAGCACGAGCCCUCUGGCCAAGGGCAGCGGGAUCUCCCAGAACCGCUCCGAGGAUGCCGACGCCGAGGGCGCGGUGAUGGGGACCAGGGUCAGGCUGCUGGAUGUCACCGCUCUGUCGCGCCUGAGGGACGAAGGGCACAUAUCACGGUACAGCAUCAAGGCCACACAGGGGAUCCAGGACUGCCUGCACUGGUGCCUCCCCGGCGUGCCGGACACGUGGAACGAGAUCCUCGCGGCCCAGUUGUUAUAG